rnacentral:rRNA from 1 species
GACGAACGCUGGCGGCGUGCUUAACACAUGCAAGUCGAACGAUGAAGCCGGAGCUUGCUCUGGUGAAUUAGUGGCGAACGGGUGAGUAACACGUGAGUAACCUGCCCUUGACUCUGGGAUAACUGCUAGAAAUGGUAGCUAAUACCGGAUACGACCCUCGGAGGCAUCUCCAGGGGGUGGAAAGAAUUUCGGUCAAGGAUGGACUCGCGGCCUAUCAGCUAGUUGGUGAGGUAACGGCUCACCACGGCGACGACGGGUAGCCGGCCUGAGAGGGUGCCAGGCCACACUGGGACUGAGACACGGCCCAGACUCCUACGGGAGGCAGCAGUGGGGAAUAUUGCACAAUGGGCGCAAGCCUGAUGCAGCAACGCCGCGUGAGGGAUGACGGCCUUCGGGUUGUAAACCUCUUUUAGUAGGGAAGAAGCGAAAGUGACGGUACCUGCAGAAAAAGCACCGGCUAACUACGUGCCAGCAGCCGCCGUAA